rfam:Ciona savignyi cont_37970, whole genome shotgun sequence.
GCUUAUCACCAUUCCAGAUUGAAUAUACCCGAUCUCGUCUGAUCUCGGAAGUCAAGCAAUCUCGUGCUUGGUUAGUACUUGGAUGGGUGACCGCUUGGGAAUACCAAGUGUGAUAAGCA